rnacentral:rRNA from 1 species
UACGUAGGAGACGAGCGUUGUCCGGAAUUACUGGGCGUAAAGCGCGUGUAGGCGGAUGAGCAAGUCUGCUGUGAAAGCUCCUGGCUUAACCGGGAGUGGUCGGUGGAAACUGCUCGUCUGGAGGACGGUAGAGGUAGGUAGAAUUCCCGGUGUAGUGGUGAAAUGCGUAGAGAUCGGGAGGAAUACCUGUGGCGAAGGCGGCCUACUGGGCCGGACCUGACGCUGAGACGCGAAGGCGUGGGGAGC